AAUUCCCUUCAAUUAGUUAAACCAAUUAGUUAAAUCGAAACUUGAUUUCAAUCCUCAACAGUGAAAGGACGUGUUCAUAUGAAUUCAAUCUAGUCUCAUAGUGGGUUGAAGUUGAACCAAUUCACACAGAUGGGUUUACCAAGGUUCGGUCGUCCCAAGAACGACGACGAAUCGAGCUCAAACCUCUUCGUCGCCAAUUGCGGCCCAGCGGUGGGGCAUUCCGAUCACGAAAUUGCUUCUGUGUUCUCCAAAUUCGGCGAGUUGAACGGAGUUUAUGCCGCAGAUGACAGCGGCACGCGUGUCAUUGUGUCGUUUUCCGAUCAGGGUUCUGCUCAAUCUGCAUUGAAGGCAUUGCAUGGACAACCAUGUCAUGAACUUGGUGGUCGAACCUUGCAUAUUCGUUAUUCUGUGCUUCAGCCAAAUCAUCAGGAUCAUGUUAAGGAUUUGGUUCCUGUGUCUAUCACUGCUUCUGAUCUGAAUAUUCCAGGUGUUUACCUUGUGCAUGACUUCAUUACUGCUCAAGAAGAAGAGGAAUUGCUUCAAGCUGUUGACUGUAGGCCUUGGAAUAGCCUCGCAAAAAGAAGGGUGCAACACUAUGGUUAUGAGUUUCGUUACGACACUAGGAAUGUUAAUACCAAGCAUCGCUUAGGAGAGCUUCCAUCAUUUGUUUCUCCGGUACUUGAAAGAAUUUCAUCGUGUCCGACUUUCAAGAAUACUGAUGAUAGUAUAGUUUUGGACCAACUUACGGUAAAUGAGUACCCACCUGGAGUGGGUUUGUCCCCUCAUAUAGACACCCACUCUGCAUUUGAAGAUUUAAUUUUCAGCCUUUCAUUAUCAGGGCCUUGUAUAAUGGAGUUUAGAAAAUAUGAAAAUGGUGGUUGGUUUUCUAGAGAUGGCUCAAGUACUGUCACAAAAGUUGAAAGUCCUGAAGAUGAUUCGAAUUUUAUAAGGAGGGUUAUCUAUCUUCCCCCUCGAUCUUUGCUACUCUUGUCUGGAGAAGCACGUUAUGCAUGGCAUCAUUACAUUCCACACCACAAGAUAGACAAGGUGAAUGGAAGAGUCAUCAGAAGGGCUUCAAGAAGGGUAUCUUUCACAUUUCGUAAGGUUAGGGAAGGUUUAUGCAAAUGUGAAUUCCCUCAGUAUUGUGACUCUCAAAGAUGAGUUUUCUCCAAGAUGGCAAUGAGAAGGUUUGAAAACACACCAAAUAUCUCUGUUCUUGAGAGUUUCAAUGAGCAUAACCUGAGGGUUCUAACUAGCUUUACAUGCAUGUCUUGAAGGUUUGGUGGAUUCUUCAAUAAGAUCGUUGGACAAUGUUGUCGCCUGUAACAAAAGAAAAUUUGAACUGGAAAUGCUUAAUGAGAUCAAUCAAGAUUUCAUGUUGGCAGCCCAAAUAACAUGAAAUUGGUCCCAGGUUAACUUUGAAGUGAUUUGAACUCUAAAAGUAGUUGGGGAGCUCUAGCUUUGUGGCUUUAUGGAUACUCUGCAGUUCUCUUAUCUCGGAAAUUAUACCAAUCCUAUUUAUAUUUUUUGGUAUGUAACAGUUUAGUUUUUUAGUUUGUUUUCUAUGUGUCGUUCAAUUUGACGAAAUAAGCAACUACAAUGACAGGGGCAAAGUGAACGUUAUCAUCAAAUAUUAUGAAGCAAUGUUAUAAAUUAUAGUAAUUUGAGAAUAAAAUGUAACUUUUGUGAGUAUUA